UCAAGAUUAGUCUAAAAAUGCUGAGCAAUAGAAGCAGGUGUCUGGAUUAAGUUAGGAACAUUAGACCCUGGUAUAGUCCAAAUUUUCAGCAUUUUUUUUAUAAUCCCUUUCUAAAAAACACAUGCAGCAGUUGACAAGUCCUGCACCGAAGAGUUUAGUGUCAUGGCAAUCAUGAAAAAAAAAAAACCUGAUGGGAUGUGGGUACCUAAACCCAAGUGUGCAGUUCUCUUCCAGAAGUCCACGGUAUCUGAGAGAACCCCACCUCCCUGGGAACCCCACCAUUUCUGCUGCAGCAGCUGGAAGCCAGCCAGAAUACCAAAGGACACGAAGGCUUUAGGAACUCAAAAGUUAUUCUUUAGCAAAUAUUCCUACCUUGGGUCAUCCAUAGAGAGAUGGUGUUAGGAGCAGACCUGGAAUUAAUUUCUUUGUGCAGGUUACCAUGCAAUACAGGCAAAGUUGUCCUCCAUCCAUAUUUUGGGUUGUCACUUCUAACACCUGAAUUUGUACAUUGGUACCAGUAAGGAGCUCCUUCCCAGCUGUAAAGCCUGCAGUGCUUGCAGAGGUGUCCCACUGCCUUUCUGGCUCAUUGUUUGUAACACUGCUGCCACCUCAGGUCUCUGAUCCCAUGAGCAGAACUACUGAUCCUUCCCACACCUGCUCACAGAGCACAUACUCACCUGGCAUGUUUUACAAGGGCCCUUUUAAUGCAAGGUGACACCAAUGAGCAUUGGUCUUAACUCAUUUUUAGGAGCUGAUUUCCAGGUUCAGCGAUACCAGCACUGUAGAAUGAACCAAGAACAAUGCUGGCCACUCUAAGCUGUGAUGUCCUAAAUUGGAGCUCUGGAUUUUAGAUUUACCAAAUCCCUUGAUCUUAAACAUGUCAAGAACUCUGUUGGAACCUGAUUGCUGGCUUCCAUGAUUGGCAGUGGGCACGAGUUUAUGCACCUCACUGAACAUGAGUUUAAAUGAUGACACUGAACAGCUGUGUGACAUGAAAUAAAUCACUUCAUAAAAAUGCCUGGUGUUCUCACUAAUGUAAAACUGAGAUCUGUCCCACUGGCACAUUUUGAAAAGCACUAGAAAAAUGUUUUUAUCUGAAUGGCAAAUAAUAGAUGAAUUCAUGCUUAACUUGCAUUUUUCCAUUUUAGAAAAAUUAGUUUAAAAAAACCUAUCAUAGCAGCACAGUAAUGAUAAUUGCAGCUUAAUUACCCAUAACUGAUUCUUUAUGCCCUGAAAUAAUUUAUUCUCCUUUUAUACUUGUCUCUGAUAUCCAUUUGAGUCAUUACAACUGUGAGUCUGUAAUUACAUAUUUUGCAUUUUAACAUUCUAUGCCAGUAUGUGCUCUCUUCUUAUCUUUCAGCUAAUUUCAUUACCGAAACACCAAGAAAAUUUCCAUAUGAAUUUUCCAGAAGGUUUUGGGGUAGGUCUAGCAGUUAAUGAAGCCUAGAGAGACUGUUCUUAGGACACAGCUUUUGUAUGUGCUCACCAGUCUGGCUUUGCCAACUGCUCUGUGCAGGCUGCACCGUGGUGGGACUUUGGCAUUGGGUGGACGUUAGGACACAACUAAGUGCUUGGGAGAAGAGAGGUCAGAUUUUGUCUGUGUUAUGUUUGAAGAUAAAGCUGAGAAAGCUCUUGACAAGGCUCUUCCAGGACUCAGGUUCACUUCUGCCUGGUGGCACCACCAGUAGGAGACACAGCACUGCCAAAAGCCAGGACUUUUCCUUGUUCCAAGUAAGCAUGCUCUAUGCCAAGCUGCAUGCGCUCGUAUCCUUUAGCGUUGGUAGAAAAUUUGGUAAAAUCAUUGCAAUAAAGCAGAAAAUGUGCUCUUUGCUCUCUCGCAAUCUCACCUUGCUAAAUGCCUUCCUGUCUCAAUUGCCAAAAGGUUAGUCAGAAUCUGGCCCAGAAAUGUGACUGUGUGGGCCACACUCUAGUUCCUUCACCAAACACCAGGGAGAUGCCAACACCCAAAGGGGCCAAGGCGGUUUAAUGCUUGCCUUGAAGAAUCUUAAACUAAAAACCUGUUUUCUAGCUAUCCCUCUGACUCACCAAAAGCUGCCAAACACAUCAUUUACUCUAUCUUUCAGAUUUGCCUGUUUGUAAGACUAGAGUCUUGCUACCUAUACUGACAGGAUCCUACCAGAAAUUGUCUGUAACCUCCCCGUGACAAGAGCCAAUGCAGCAGUAUUUACAAUCCCUUCACUCCAACAGCUGUUUCAGAGACAGAAAUGCAUUUUUUUCCAUGGGUAACAUGGCCUGGGCAAGAUUGCUUGGAAGAUGCAAAUAUUAAAAUAAAAUGGAAGUAUGAUAAUGCUUUUUAAUGGACAAAUUAAGCUGAAUGACAAACACAAGAUUGUGCAAUAUAAAUUUCACACAGAGGGCAAGUAAAAACUGAGUCGCAUGCAGCAAUUGGAACAAAUUAAUCUGAUUUUCCCAUGCCACAUUUUUACAACACAGAAUCAAAAGAGCCUGAAAAUGAAACAUUAAAGUGAAUUUCCUACUAGAAUUUAACAAAGAAAGUACCCUGUCAUUUCCUCAGCUGGAAAGGGCAUAUUUGGAUUGAGUCAGGGAUUUAUUUUCUUAAAUAAUAAAACACCUUCCUCCCUCCUUCUCUCCCAAGUUCAUUAUUGUUUAGAUCAAGACUGGGACAAAUCAGUGAGAUAAGGAGAGUAAGGUUAUCAGUAUUUCUGGGGCAGAGAUUUUACUCUUUAGGAGCAUAUGCUGCAUGGAGCCACAUGAUCAUGGAGUGAAAAAUGAAGUGACUACAAUUAUUACCUGAUGUUCCUCUUUAAUUCCCCCAAUCAGUAACCUUCACAGCAGUCCAAGUGGCUAUAGUGGCUGUGCUAGUUUUGGCCUGUCCCUGCAUUUUCACACCUCCCCAAGCAGCACCAACACAGCAGUGUGUUAAAAAAAAAACUUUAAAAAAAAAGUUAAGUCAAAAGGAGACAGUUGUUACCAGCUUUCCUGUUUUGAAUGGGUUGGAAAUAGGCCAAAAGCUGGGUGCUGGAGCUCAGCAGUGGAUUUGUGCAUACUGGAAGACAGCUCCAACUGAGCACUAUUACAGCUGCUGAGCACACACAGGUCUUUGAAGCCGCAUCUCCUUACACACCCCGCCACAGUCCAGCAGGCAAGGGACACCCUUCAUGUGCAGCUGGAAUCCCAGCCAUAAAGCAUAUUCCUCAUGGGCAAAAAAAGUCUUCUCACAGCUAAGUUCCCAGCAGUGUUUCCCUGCUGGACUGGCUGGGAUUCCCUGGCAAAGUAACAGCCAGCAGCAAGUGAUGCAGGCUGGCCGUGACAACUGCUCGUUGAAUACUGCUUAGGCAAAGGGGCACAACUCAGUGCUAGUAUUUCUUUAGCGAUUCUAGAAGAGUGAAACAGCUUUGGGCUGAGAUGCUGGAGUCCACAAGUUAAGACCCUAAGGUGAAAAUGCAGUCCCAUUACCACUACUGUAUUUGUUGCUAUGGAGCAUUUUGAGACCAUGGAGGCCUGUGUUGAAGGCACAGUGCCAAGCCCCUUCUCUGCCAUCAGCUCUGUUCUUGCAUUUAAAGUUUCUGCAACUUGUGUGUCUUUUCAGCAGUAUUACAGUCCUCAUCCCAGACCACGACAUGAAUACAAGUAGAAGAAUUAACAAGGUCUCUGCAUGAAAGAGAAGCACAAAGGUUUUCCCUGUUCUCCACUGCCUCUGCCAGCACCUGCUCCGAAACUCCCAUCUGGGGUUGCUGCUUGCAGCUACUGACUGCACACUGAACAAGCAUCAGCUCACAUCUGUCUUCACAACCAGCCAACAGUGCUCACCCAACUGCACCUAAGCACGUUCAACAAUGGGUCAAGGAUGCCUGAGGAAAACCAGCAGCUCGGAAGCAGCAGCUGGAGGGGAGCCAGCAGGAACCUGACCAGCAGCUGGCUGGUCCUGAGUUUUUUAAGCUCAGUCAGUAUCUAUCCUUGCAGAAGUGGAAAAGCUGCAAGGCUUAUGAAUUUCAGAUACCUUUGUCUAUAGGAAGCAAAUGAAACCCUGAAACAUUUUUCAACUUACACCACAUCCCAUGCCUUCUGCAGAUGAAAGGAAAGGCAGAAGUCUGGGACCACAGACUUCCUCCUCCUCCUCCUCCUCCUCUCACAGAGACCAGCCUAGUCGGAAGGAAAUGUCUAGUGCUUAUCUCCAUUUCAGAAAACAGACACAGCCUCUGGUGGAAAAAACACAGGCAAAGUCCAAGGGAAACCCUGGGGGCAAAACCAGCAACUUUGGAUCAAACCUCCUCAGUAUUUGCAGCUUAGGAGAAGUCUGGCUUUUUCGGAGCCAUGCUUUUAUGCUGUGCAAUAGUCUGGCUCAGGAGUACUGUUCACUGCACUCUUGACAAUAAAGCAAUGCCAGCUUACAAAAACCACAUGCCUGAAGGCAGCGUGGCAGGAGGGCACGUUCACAACGCACCCAAGCUCUCCUUGUGCAACUUCUUUCCGGGCCCACACUCACAUUUCUAAGAUUUUCACUGUCCUUUCUCUGUAAAAGCAAAAAUUGCAGUUCUCAAAAGAGCAAUUGCACCAGGAGAUUGGCCUUUAAGGAAAAAAAAAAAAAGAAGGAAAAAAAAACCAACAACAACAAAAGCCCUCAAAACCCCACAUUUACUGUCAAAGUCUCUGAAAUUAUGAGAUUUGACAAUAAGUCUUUUGUUCUUGUGGCAACAUGCAACUAGGCAACAUGCAGCUUGAUUUCUGCAGCCAGUAGAUAUUCAAAGUACUUUUCACAUACAAUAGGUGUCAAUUUGACUUUAUUUAAGGAAAAACGGGGAAAAAACAGUAAUUUCCAUAAUACACAGAAGACAAGUUAGAUAGCACUGCAAAAAAAAGGCUGAGUGUUUUACUUGUCACCAGUCUGCUUUGCAGCUCUACGAUUAGUAAUUUUAAUGCAGUUUGUCAUUUUGUAUUAUUGUUUAGCAUCUUUAUAAUCAGCAGAGUUUGGGGUUAUAAAUCACAAAAAGUGUACUACUACUACUAUGAAAAACUAAAAAACCCACAAAAAUCACUUUCAAAUAAACCAUAAAUAUGUGAUGCACAUUAGUGUAACAAAACCAUUUUUGUAAACAUUUUCUCCAACAUAACAUGUGCAUAAGAUAAAAAAUAAAAACACUGCAGUCAUACAAGUUAGGGUUACUUUGACUUAAAGAUACAGAAAAUUAUUACUUAUUAAAGCUUAAAACUAAACCUAGGAGCUUUUCUUUUCUUCUUUGCUUACAAAAGCACUGUUUGAAGAGUUCCAUGUUGGUAUGCGAAGUGGUUUUGUAAUACUGUUUUUACUUUGCCAUGCUGGCGCUUCUGCGGAGGCAGAAGCUGCCAGAUGGGCAGGCCCUCUGAAGGAAGGAGAUUUCCACCCUCCCCCAGAGCCUGAAAACUUCAACAGCACAUAUCCAUGACCUGGACAUCCCUAUAGCACUGGAGCAUCUUCCUCUAGGUGAAUAGCAUCAGCUUUCAAGGACUAGAUUAAUUUUGACCACAUAGCACUGGAAGAUUUAAAUCACGCAGACUGACAUUCGAUCGAAUCAGCUUCGGCAAACUACACUACAGGGCAGCUCUGUGAUCACACCCAUGUCUACCAUCACGCUGGAUUUCCGAGUCCCCUUUAGUUCAUUAUAGUACAAAAGGUUGAUCGUUCUUCUGGCUGACCACACCGGGCCUGAAAAGAACACAUCCUUCACCUUCAACACUAUCCAAAAGUCAUACAAUUAAAAAAAAAUAGUUCUAGGUAUUCCUCCGCCAGCAAAUGUAAGGCUUUCUUGAGUUUUGAUUCUUUUUGGGGGGUGGGGGAGUGGGGGUUGCUGUGUGCACACGCAUGCGCUGGAGGUACGCAAUUACCGCGCGCUUUUCAACCUCUGCGGCGUUCGAAGGAGAGUCCUCAGCAGCAGCGCUGGUCGGGGUUGAAGGAUUUACAGCAGUCAGAUCUGACACCAAAAGAAGGGUCUGUUGAGUCUGAGCUUUGCACACUUGGUGCUCUUGGCUCUUAAUUGAUUGUGUGACCAGUCGCUCGAGCCAUCAGCUUGACUGAAUUGAAGAAAACGUGUUUAAAAAGCCCUACCUGUCAUGCCAUGAAGGAAAGUUAACCACAGCAGAAGACAAAGCCCAUGAAACACUGAGAGCCUGUUCACUAAAUGAACAGCUUAAGGCAGCUGUCAGCAAAGUACCCCACCAAAGGAAUUAAGGGGGAAAAAAAAAAAGAAAACAAAAAGGAAAAUGGCUGAAUCGUGACACUGUGCAUUAUUACAACACCAACAGAUUAUUAUACACUCAAGAUUUCUCAAGUAAUGAACAUGUAGCCACUAAACAAAUUAUUACUCUCAAGACAUUUAUUAAAAAUGUCAGAACUUAUUCAUAAAAUAAAACUGACUUAAAAAAAAAAAAAAGAAAGGAAAAAAGCCAGAGCUGGGAUCUUACAUCUAAACACAGGUAUACGCUGUUUUUAUGAAUAAGCAGUAUUAACUACAUUCUUAAAAGAGUUUUAGUGCAUUGCAUUCUUAAAAAAGAAAAACAUCACCGCCCCAAAAUGUUUCCUACAACAUUUAACAAUUUAUAGAACUAGCCUAGUUACUUUUACCUGCCUGUUACUAAGCCCAUGUGUUAGAAGAGUCAAACCUCUGGUUUAGGCUAAAUUCAUACUUCUGUUAAGGAUGAAACUGGUUUAUAAAAUGCUUGCUUUACCAAAUUUUGUAAGCAGAUUACAUUGAUCAGUGUCUCACUGCCAUACCGCUACGACUAUUGCCCCUACUCGCUCCUCCUGCUGAAACUUGCUAUGCAAUAACAGUCAGAAACCUUUCAAUCUGGUAGUUUUGGUAUUAAGAUUAAAUUAGACAUUAAUGGUUUUCUUCUAAAAACGUAUAAACUAAACCACCUCUUUUAUUUUAUGCAUUAAAAACAAUGAGGUAGGCACAAAAAAAUAAACAUAUGUAGUUUGGAUUUUAUUCCUUUUUUUCUUUUUUUCUUUUUUUUUUUAAGUUCUGCGAGUGCAGACUGUGGUAAAACUGUUGUUGCACUUCUAGGUUUAAACAAAAAUUAAACCUUUAACUGAGGCAGUGCUAAUACUGUGACAUAACCAAGUUCUGGCCUAACACAGAAUCAUUAUAGAAAAUGAAUUUUUUUUUUCCUUUUUUUUUUAAUAUCACCUGCACAUGUUUCAGGCAACACCUGGUACACAGAAAAUGACUAAAGUUAUUGGCCAGGCCAAAAUAAAACUGCAGAAACAAAAAAAACCCUAAGAAUUCCACCCCAAGCCCCUUCCCACCCUCCCUGUCCCCAAAAAGAAGUUAUCCUAGUCACUGUGUCUUUCACAUUUUAUAAAUAUUAACUUCUUAAAACCUGCACCUUCCUCUUUGUCCACAUAUUGUCACAUUACAAAAAAGAAAUGUCAAUUAAAUACAUUGUUAACAUUACUAGACUAGAUCUGCCCUCUGUUUCAGCCAGUCUGAUUCUCUACACCACUUCUCACCUUCUCUUGCCUGCCUCUUGUCCACUCAACAAACAGCAUGGUCAUGGUAAGCCUGGUUUGUUUUUCUUCCUUUUUUCCCUCCCUCCUCUGUUUUAACACUAACAAACAGAGUCCUUCAAAUCCUAGGAAUACUGGAGCUGAAGGGAAAAGAAGACCUGUAGCUUUCUAGCGUGAUCCCAAAUCUCAAAGACAUUGUAGCACCUGAUGGCAAUAUCUUUACAGCACCAGCUGCGUCGCA